GCUCAUGGAGCUUAACUAAAGCAUGGCACUGACGAGAUGUAGACAAACCCUAGAGUGGUUUCGUGGGCA
rnacentral:tRNA from 1 species